rnacentral:rRNA from 1 species
AACGUAGGGGGCGAGCGUUGUCCGGAAUUACUGGGCGUAAAGGGCGUGUAGGCGGCCUUGCAAGUCGGGAGUGAAACCCGCCGGCUCAACCGGCGGCCUGCUUUUGAAACUGCAGGGCUUGAGUGCAGGAGAGGGGAGUGGAAUUCCCAGUGUAGCGGUGAAAUGCGUAGAUAUUGGGAGGAACACCGGUGGCGAAAGCGGCUCUCUGGCCUGUAACUGACGCUGAGGCGCGAAAGCGUGGGGAGCAAAC